rnacentral:rRNA from 1 species
GGACCGAUAUAUCGGUCGUGCCUCGGUACGUACUGGUAUUUUCGGUUUCUCCCUUCUGACGAACCAUGAUGUCAUUAAUUUGGUGUCAUGGGGAAUCAGGACUGUUACUUUGAAAAAAUUAGAGUGUUUAAAGCAGGCUCGCGCUUGAAUACAUUAGCAUGGAAUAAUGAAAUAGGACGUUUAAUUCUAUUUUGUUGGUUUCUAGGAUUGACGUA